ACUCCUGUCCAUCGUGAUGGACAUAUUCUGUGCUGCCAUCUGGUGGAGUGUGGAGCAAACAGCACUGAAAACAACUCGCUGCUCGUAGUUGCAAAUGGCGACCUGCAGCACUCGCACGUUCUACGGCCGACGCCAAGGACUAACAACAAGUCAGGCUGAUGCCAUUUUAGACAGUGUGUGCGGUGCCACAAGUUCUGACGUUGACGACUCUGACGAUGACAUUGAUUUUGUGGCAGCAGAAAAUGAAGUUAGAGAAGAUUCUUCGUCUUCCGACGAAUCAAGUGAUGAAGAUGAAUCGCGGCCGCCUGCCAGGAAAGUUUGGAAACCCUCUGCCAGCCCCCCAUCAAACUCUGGCGCACAAGUUUUGGAGACUGGGUGCUGACAUGAUCCAAGCAAGGGAACGUUCACACCUGGCGACUACUUUCGGCAGUACUUCGCUUCCAGCAUGUAUGAGACACUGGCUGAAAAAACUAACAUUAGGAUCCUGGAGCGAAAUGGGACGAUCGCAAAAGUAACAAGGCAAGAGGUUCAACAUUUUUUUGGAAUAUCUAUGUUGAUGAGUACAACUGGGUACCCCCGUCUUCGUUACUACUGGAAGGCUGGACUUGGAGUGCAGUUGAUAAUCAACGCCAUGGCCCGAGACAGGUUUUUCUGGAUCCGUUCUAACCUCACGUGCACAACAGAGAUCGAGGUGCCUGAUGCAGUAAAGAAGGGGGACAGGCUGUGGAAAGUGAAGCCAUUUGUGACCAUGAUUCGGGAUGGAUGCCUCUCUCUGCUGCGGCCGAACUGUUUCUCGAUCGAUGAGCAGAUGGUCCCUUUUACGGGAAGAACAUCACUCAAGCAGUAUGUUCCAAACAAGCCGCACCCCAUAGGCCUCAAGAAUUUCGUCCUUGCGGGACAGGAUGGAUUGGUUUACGAUUUUCAUCUGUACCAAGGAAAAUCUACUUUUCCAGACUAUGGACUUGGGGUGUCAGGAAACUCCGUCGUACAUCUGUGCCAAACCAUCCCACAGGAUUCCACACUUUAUUUUGAUCGGUGGUUAACGUCUGUACCACUUCUCGAAACACUGCUUAGGAAGAAGAUAUUCGCAACUGGAACGAUAAUGAAGAAUCGGAUCCCGAAAACAGCAGAGCUGGCUUCAGACAAGGAAUUAGCAAAAGAAUCUCGUGGGAAAUCAGAUGCUGUUCUGAAACACGAUGGCAGUCUCUCCAUAACCAAGUGGUAUGACAAAAAGGCAGUCACACUUGCAUCCACAGCAUUUGGUGUUGAACCCGUCGGUACAUGCCAGCGAUACAGUAAGCAGGAGCACAGAAAGGUCGCAGUCCCUCGUCCAAUGGUGGUCCAAAAGUACAACGAAAAAAUGGGAGGCGUUGACCUCUGCGACAGGAUGAUGUCGUUUUACAGCCAACGUCGCCGUACCUCAAGAUGGACCCUCAGGACGAUGAUUCACCUCGUUGACCUGGCCUGCGUGAAUGCAUGGAUUGAGUACCGUGCAAACAAGAAGUAUCUGAAGCAACCUGCCAUGCAGUACAUCGAAUUCAAAAUCAGUGUGGCUGAGUCACUUCUCAGUACCAUACUUGAAGAGGAUUCAAACUCCAGCGAUGAAGACACGGUUGAAGUUCCACGCAAGAGAGUCAAGCCGCUGCCAAGCUUGCCAGUCCGGACGUCACAGGCACUUCACAUGCCAAAGAAAGAAAGCAUCAAGAACGCUGCACGGUGCAGGAACCCUGGCUGCUCAAAGAAGACUCGGCACCGUUGCACGUCCUGUGACAUCUACCUUUGCAUUGAAACUGACCGGCACUGCUUCUUUGAUUUCCAUACCAAGAAAUGAGUCAUUUCUUUGCCGGUAUCGCUCCAGUUUUGUUAUUUGUCCUCCCAAAGCCUAACCUGGAAAAGUUAACUCACAAAAUGUUGAAUAAAGUUUGUGUUCAUUUUCCUGA